ACGAACGCUGGCGGCGUGCUUAACACAUGCAAGUCGAACGGUGAAGGGGUCUGCUUUUGUGGGCCCUGGAUGAGUGGCGAACGGGUGAGUAACACGUGAGUAACCUACCCCCUUCUUCUGGAUAACCGCAUGAAAGUGUGGCUAAUACGGGAUAUUCUGGGUCUGUCGCAUGAUGGGUCUGGGAAAGAUUGCGCCUUUGGGUGUUUUUGGUGGGGGAUGGGCUCGCGGCCUAUCAGCUUGUUGGUGGGGUGAUGGCCUACCAAGGCGGUGACGGGUAGCCGACCUGAGAGGGUGGACGGUCACACUGGGACUGAGACACGGCCCAGACUCCUACGGGAGGCAGCAGUGGGGAAUAUUGCACAAUGGGCGCAAGCCUGAUGCAGCGACGCCGCGUGAGGGAUGGAGGCCUUCGGGUUGUAAACCUCUUUCGCCAGUGAAGCAGGCCUGCUCCUUGUGGGUGGGUUGACGGUAGCUGGAUAAGAAGCGCCGGCUAACUACGUG
rnacentral:rRNA from 1 species